AUGAACGCUGGCGGCGUGCCUAAUACAUGCAAGUCGAGCGAACGGACGAGAAGCUUGCUUCUCUGAUGUUAGCGGCGGACGGGUGAGUAACACGUGGAUAACCUACCUAUAAGACUGGGAUAACUUCGGGAAACCGGAGCUAAUACCGGAUAAUAUUUUGAACCGCAUGGUUCAAAAGUGAAAGACGGUCUUGCUGUCACUUAUAGAUGGAUCCGAGCUGCAUUAGCUAGUUGGUAAGGUAACGGCUUACCAAGGCAACGAUGCAUAGCCGACCUGAGAGGGUGAUCGGCCACACUGGAACUGAGACACGGUCCAGACUCCUACGGGAGGCAGCAGUAGGGAAUCUUCCGCAAUGGGCGAAAGCCUGACGGAGCAACGCCGCGUGAGUGAUGAAGGUCUUCGGAUCGUAAAACUCUGUUAUUAGGGAAGAACAUAUGUGUAAGUAACUGUGCACAUCUUGACGGUACCUAAUCAGAAAGCCACGGCUAACUACGUG
rnacentral:rRNA from 1 species